AGAGUUUGAUCAUGGCUCAGGAUGAACGCUGGCGGCGUGCUUAACACAUGCAAGUCGAACGGAGUUUUAACGGAAGUUUCGGAUGGAAGUUUAAAACUUAGUGGCGGACGGGUGAGUAACGCGUGGGUAACCUGCCUCAUACAGGGGGAUAACAGUUAGAAAUGACUGCUAACACCGCAUAAUAUAGCGAAACCGCAUGAUUUUGCUAUCAAAUAUUUAUAGGUAUGAGAUGGGCCCGCGUCUGAUUAGCUAGUUGGUGGGGUAAAAGCCUACCAAGGCGACGAUCAGUAGCCGGCUUGAGAGAGUGACCGGCCACAUUGGGACUGAGACACGGCCCAAACUCCUACGGGAGGCAGCAGUGGGGAAUAUUGGACAAUGGGGGAAACCCUGAUCCAGCGACGCCCGCGUGAGUGAAGAAGUAUUUCGGUAUGUAAAGCUCUAUCAGCAGGGAAGAUAAUGACGGUACCUGACUAAGAAGCUCCGGCUAAAUACGUGCCAGCAGCUGC
rnacentral:rRNA from 1 species